rnacentral:lncRNA from 1 species
CUAGCAACCAUUCCCCCUUUAUGUUGUUCAUUCAAGAAAACUGCUUUUUCUUUGUGUAAAGAAGGAUCAAAGGCGAAAAUAUAGAGGGAACACCUAGAGACCUAAUUCAGAAUUUGAAGAAUGCAAAAUGAAUAUCUGCCAGCUAAAUCUCCAUAAACUGGCAGAGACCAGAGCACCGAGGAACCUUCUGAGAAAUGAUACUGCAUAAGGGAACUCUACAGAUAACAUGGAGUUGAAAGCAUCCUGCACGUCGCCUCCCUCAAAAUCUCACACGCAAAAACCAAGUCUUUACUAUGUUCGCGACCUGAGGAAACAGACACGAAUACAAAAUCGUUGUUCUCCUGAAAGAGUGUGCAUCUGA